GUCACAGGAUCACUCUGCUUUAUCUCUCCUCCCACUCUCCCACAAUGCAUAUCUCCCUAUAUGGAGCAAAAGUUGGCUGGUGACACAUCAUUCCUGUAUUUGUGAUAUGAAUGGAUUGCAGAGAAGCAGUGAGUAUGUGUCUUCCUGUGCAUUUUUGUUGUGUGUGUGUGUGUGUACUGUAUGUAUAUAAUGGAAAGUUCUCUGAUGCUCAUUCAUGCUUCUUUGGCUUUUUGUCAGAGUGUGUUUGACACAGGUGCAGGGCUCACCCUUAGUAACGGCUGUUUCUUCCCCAGAGUUUCUUUACCUCCUUUGAUCCAGGGCUCGUUUCUGCCCCCUGGGUUUCCAAUUAUCACCACCCUCCAUUUCUUCUCCCACUCAUUUUGUCUCAAUCUAUUAAGUUAUUCAAAUGCAAUUCAUGCAAAAUCAUGACUCGAGUAUACUUACUCUAUGAUGUGACAAGUGUUUGAUUUCAGGAUUAAAUGUUGUUUGUUGUCUCAUUUAAGGGAUGAAACAUUUGGAAAAGAAACAUUAUGAAACAUUUUAUAUAAAUAUACAAUAUUUUUGUACAAACUUUAGUGAGAAAAGUUAGUAGCGUGCAAAGAGGACUCCUGUAGAACCUUAUCAUUUUGAUUAUUAAACAUUAAUUUUCUUUAUUAAAAAAAUAUUAAAAAAUAUUUUGUAAAUGUUUAAAUAAUGACGUGUAUUUAGUGUGCAAGGAAAGUAUUUUAGUACUUAGUUAAUAGUUAAACUUGAGAGAUAAAAGGCAAAAGAAGAGAUCGAUAAUGAAAAAAUUAAAAAAUAAAUAUGUAACUAAUAUUAACUGGUAAUAUCAAUAUUAUAAUGUAUUUAGGGACAAGUUCACAUAAAAGGACAAUUCUAUCCUUAUGUCUUUAUAAACCCAUGUGUCUUUUUUUCUUCUUCUGUGUAGCACAAAAGGAGUUAUUUACAACAAAAAGUCCCUACAGUUCUUUUUCAAACAAUGAAAGUGAAUGGUGGCCACAACUGCCAAGCAAGAUUCUAAUAUUAAUAUUAACAACUUCAUUGACUUUGUCAGACUUGGAACAUUUGAAAUGCUUUGGAGCUCACUGGUUGCCAUUCACUUUCACAGAAUGGAUAACUGCUCAAGCAUUUUGCUUCUCUUUAAAUGUUCCACAGAAGAAGGAAAAGUCAUACAGUGUCGUCACGUGUGAUGCUACCGGCUCUACACCGACCGGAUCUGGACUGCACAUGAGCCACAUAGCUGGAGGCAAGGAAAUCUGA
rnacentral:lncRNA from 1 species